rnacentral:rRNA from 1 species
UACGUAGGGGGCAAGCGUUGUCCGGAAUCAUUGGGCGUAGAGCGCGUAGGCGGCCCUGUAAGUCCGCUGUGAAAGUCAAGGGCUCAACCCUUGGAUGCCGGUGGAUACUGCAGGGCUAGAGUCCGGAAGAGGCGAGUGGAAUUCCUGGUGUAGCGGUGAAAUGCGCAGAUAUCAGGAGGAACACCGAUGGCGAAGGCAGCUCGCUGGGACGGUACUGACGCUGAGGCGCGAAAGCGUGGGGAGCAAACAGG